AACUAGAGUCUUGUAGAGGGGGGUAGAAUUUCAGGUGUAGCGGUGAAAUGCGUAGAGAUCUGAAGGAAUACCGGUGGCGAAGGCGGCCCCCUGGACAAAGACUGACGCUCAGAUGCGAAAGCGUGGGGAGCAAACAGGAUUAGAUACCCUGGUAGUCCACGCCGUAAACGAUGUCUACUCGGAAUUUGGUGUCUU
rnacentral:rRNA from 1 species